GCCACUGGAUAUGACAGCUUAUCCUGCCAAUCGUAAUGGUCCUCAAGAAGUUGUAAGCUGCCUUCUUAAACUGCUGCAGUCCAUUUGGUACAAAUAAAUCUAUUUUGCUGCAAGGGAAUUCCAGGAUUUUCAACUACAGAUGGUGAGGAAAAAGCAGCACAGUUCCAAUUUGGGAAGCUCCACAAUGAAAGCUGCAAGAGGAAAACCUAGUUUGGAAGGCAAUCCGUUUUCAUAUGAAUUUAACCAACGUCAGCCUGGAAUAUGAGCUAACCAGAGACAAACCAAGGGAACAACUACUGAUAAGAAUUUAACUGAUCAACGAGACACGGAAAUGUUUACCUCCACCAUGGCUUUGGGCAAUAGCUCAGCACGGAAAAGUUGCAGCAUUGCAUCCACAAUGUUCUUCCAUCCCUCUCGAAGAAUGUCACCAUGACGAUGAGACAAAUUAAACACCGUCUUGGCUGCAAGUUGAGCCUUUGAAUUGCUACCAAAAACAUUUGGAAGAUUUUCCACAGUCUACAGGAAAAGAGGACAAUACAAUGGAUUAACGGGCUGGUGGACAGUGCAGAAAAUGUAGCAGAUUUAAUCAAAAAGGAGUUGAGGGUUACAACCCCUGAAAAAUAAAUUCAGUUAGCACAGCAUUAGUUUCAAUUAGAUUUUGAGUGACAUACACAAAAAGAGUAACAUGAGCAAUGUGGGCUGCAGUGAGACAGAAGAACAGAAACUUUGGGCAAAAUGAAAGGAGAAGGCUAAUGAGGAGAAGCGAGAUUUCACUAUAUUCUCAAACUGACCACCACUUUUCACCAGCAGAUCCAUUAAGUGAGACAGCAUAAAGCAAGGUUCACUGUUCUAAAAACUCAAGAAUGGCGACAAUAUCGACCGUUUGAGCUGCUGAAAUUAGGCAAGAAUGUUAACGUUGAAGUCACGUGUAUUUAGGCCAAUUCGAGUAUCAAGUGAAUGAUCUACCAAAAACUGGAAGAUAUCUGCAUAACAAUGCAUUAUAAAAUGUCUAAUUGUAAUAAGUUUGUUUGAAACACACAACCUUC